rnacentral:misc_RNA from 1 species
AAAAACCAGAGAGUAGAGUAACAGAGCCGCCGUCAAAAAUGGUGCAACGGCUUACUUACCGUAAACGGCAUAGCUAUGCAACCAAGUCGAACCAACAUAGGGUUGUGAAAACCCCAGGUGGAAAGCUGAUUUACCAGACUACGAAGAAGAGGGCUAAUGGACCUAAGUGCCCUGUAACUGGAAAGAGAAUUCAAGGGAUUCCACACUUGAGACCUGCUGAGUACAAGAGAUCCAGGUUAUCUAGGAACAGGAGGACUGUGAACCGUGCUUAUGGUGGUGUGUUGUCCGGCAGUGCUGUACGUGAAAGGAUCAUCAGAGCCUUUUUGGUUGAAG